GACGAACGCUGGCGGCGUGCCUAAUACAUGCAAGUAGGACGCAGUUGCGAACGGGUGAGUAACGCGUAGGUAACUACCUAUCAGAGGGGGAUAACUAUCGGUAACGAUAGCUAAUACCGCAUACUAGUAGAUGGACAUGCGGUGUAUUAGUUAGUAGGGGGGGUAAUGGCCUACCUAGGCAACGAUACAUAGCCGACCGUAGAGGGUGAGCGGCCAACAUGUGGAGUAGACACGGCCCAGAGUUCGACGGGAGGCAGAAGGAGGGAAGCGUGGGGAAAGGGGGGAACCCUGGCCGGGCAACACCGCGGGAGUGAAGAAGGUUUUCGGAUCGUAAAGCUCCGUUUGUUAGGAAGCGGUACUUAACCAGAAAGGGACGGCUAACUACGUGCCAGCAGCCGCGGUAAUAC
rnacentral:rRNA from 1 species